rnacentral:lncRNA from 13 species
UGACCUCCUAGGGGCAUUUGGCUGGUAUGAGAAGAAUGCCUCCAGUGAGCAUGCAUACGACUCCAAGUGUGCUUGCUCCACUCCCACGCGCUAGCAGGCUACUGAACAUGUGGACAACCCACCCCAAGGGAAGAUCCAAGGGAAAAAGAAUGCAAGUUCCCAGAAGUAUGCCAGUGUAUAAAACCACAAGUCAAAAGAUUCCUUCAGUUAGAGUGCCUCUGAAAGAUAUGGUGUAUUCCAGCUGGCAUUGAGACAACCUAAAGUUUAAACCGUUGGGUGAUAAAGGAAUGUCACAAGGAAAAAUUAUAGAGAUCUUGGAUGAAAACGGUCUCAAGCAGAAAGAAGAAUAAUUCUGAAAAAUGCUCAUCUGCUAUAUGGAGGUGACAUUUUGAAAACUUAUCUAAAUAUUUUAUCCUUUUUUUGUGUGAUUAAUAUUCUAGGAAACAUAGCAUUAACAUCUUUAAUUGAUAUUCCAUAAUCUUAAAACAAAUAUUGCUAAUUCCUUUUGCUUUGUUUCUUGGGUAAGGAAAAAAUGAACUUCAUCAUAUGAAACAUGUUUUUGAAACUACUUAAAGCUAUUUUAAAGUUUCUCUGUUUAUUAAAUAUCACCAGUUGGCAUUCAGCAAAAUGCAAAUGUAACAAUUUCUUCAGAAACUGGAAGAUAGCUCCAUUUACUGAGUUGAAUUUAACAGUGGCAUAACUAAGCUGCAGCAAAGCAGGAGUGCCUACUAAUUAGGAUAGAUUCCUGACCAUCAUUCCACUGUGCAGCUCCCACUGAAGUGAACAUGAAUCUUGCAG